UACGUAGGGUGCAAGCGUUAAUCGGAAUUACUGGGCGUAAAGCGUGCGCAGGCGGUUGUGCAAGACAGAUGUGAAAUCCCCGGGCUCAACCUGGGAAUUGCGAUGGAGACUGCAAGGCUAGAAUCUGGCAGAGGGGGGUAGAAUUCCACGUGUAGCAGUGAAAUGCGUAGAGAUGUGGAGGAACACCGAUGGCGAAGGCAGCCCCCCUGGGUCAAGAUUGACGCUCAUGCACGAAAGCGUGGGGAGCAAACAGG
rnacentral:rRNA from 1 species